CGAAGGUGUCCAGUUAGAAGUGCCAGUUAGAAGCUCAUUUGCAUAGCCAGAAGAAUGAAGAUAACGGGUGAACGGCGGGACGGAUCUGGGCAUGCAGGACCAGCGUUCUCCGCUCCAUCUCUUUGUGAUGAGGACCUUGCAUUGUCUCCAGAAGAACUUUCACCUUCAUCAGAAUCUUCAUUGUCUGGAGCUAAGAAAUGCAGCUUGAGACCCGAAAGGUUGGAAAGAAACAAGAAGAAGGCUUCAGAUUGCAGGAGUUCCAUGCACGCAGAUAAUGCAUCAGUGAUGCGAGAGCCUGUGCCCAUGCGAUCGUUCCGCUCUUCGGAGAGAGCACACUUUCCUCCCACGUCGUAAUGCCAUGAGAGUGAAGAAUUAUAAAUAUUAUCAAGAUUUGCAGACAUAGGGAACGAAGAGCAAAGGGAACGAAGUUAAGAAAAGGUUGGCAAGCUGGCUCCCGCCUCCAUUGUGCGGAGUUGGAAAUUUGCAUACUAGCAACAGGGGCUAUUUCAACCAAUUUUGUCUGUAGAGAGAUAAUUGAAAUCAAAUGGUACCAGAAAGAUUUACAGAUGUGGUAAGCCUCCCAGUAUGUAUCAGCUGCUGUAUACUCAGAAGGAAGUCAUGCAGCUCUUUCCAGUCCGACACAGUGCUCUGUACCACCUCUGUCCAUUUCAGAGCAGUAACAAAUCCCCUUAACCCCUUAAGGACAUAGCGUUUUUCCACUUUCAUUUUUUCCUCCUUACCUUUUAAAAAUCAUAACCCUUUAAAUUUUGCACCUAAAAAUCCAUAUUAUGGCUUAAUUGUUGCGCCACCAAUUCUACUCUGUAAUGACAUCAGUCAUUUUACCCAAAAAUCUACGGCAAAAUGGGGAAAAAAAAUCGUGUGACAAAAUGGAAGAAAAAACGCAAUUUUGUAACUUUUGGGGGCUUCCGUUUCUAUGCAGUACAUUUUUAGGUAAAAAUUACUCCUUAUCUUUAUCCUGUAGGUCCGUAUGAUGAUAGUCUACUUUUAUAGGUUUUAUUUUGUAUUACUUCUGAAAAAAAUCAUAACUACAUGCAGGAAAAUGUAUACGUGUAAAAUUGUCAUUUUCUGACCCCUAGAACUUUAUUUUUCCACGUAUGGGGCGGUAUGAGGGCAAAUUUUUUGCACCGUGAUCUGAAGUUUUUAUAGGUACCAUUUUUGUUUUGAUCGGACUUUUUGAUCACUUUUUAUUCAUUUUUUUUAUGGUAUAACAACUUUGGAAUUUUUUUGCGCAUACAGCAUUGACCGUGCGGUUUAAUUAACUAUAUAUUUUUAUAAUUCGGACAUUUCCACACGCGGCGAUAUCACGUUUAUUUUUAUUUACAGUUUUUUUUUUUUAUGGGAAAAGGGGGGUGAUUCAAACUUAUUAGGGAAGGGGUUAAAUCCUCUUUAUUAACUUUUUUUUUUUUUUUGCAGUGUUAUAGCUUCCAUAGGGGACUAUAACAUGCAGUACAUUGAGUCAAUACACUGAUCACUGCCAUUGCAAUGCAUUGAUCAGUGUUAUCAGUGGCUGUUUGCUCAAGCCUGGAUUUCAAUCACCCAUCGGAAGAGCAGGAGGCAGGUAAGGUAACCUCCUGCUGCGUCCUAGCUGGUCUGAACAUAGCGAUUUUACCGCGAUAGUCCCGAUCAGCCAGACCGAGCUGCCGGGAAGCUUUAGCCACGGGUUCUGGCUGCUGAUAGCAGUGGGGACCAUGCGGGUAUGAUGCGAGCUCAGCGCCAUUUAUAAACUGCAUUUUGCGGCAAGGGGUUAAAGGAAUUUUUUUUUUUUUUUUUUAAUCAACUGGUGCCAGA